UGAUACAGUUUUAUAAUCCCGGCAUUCUUAAUUUAUGUAUAAAAUAACUGGCUGCAUCCAGUGGUACCCCUCAGUCUCCUAGCAGACACACCUAUGUUAUUUCAAAAAUCCUCUGUGACUUCUUUCUCAGGUGGCCCUGAGAUUUUCUUUUGUACCCAUGUUAUCAGUUUUCAUUCUCGAGUUUAAUCUGCCCUGGACAAACGGUACGAGGCGGUGCUCCGCAACUCUUUUACUUCAGCUACCUCCCAUUUCUUGUGAACAAUUGUGAAUGCUUGGGAGAAAAAAAAAAACA